UCAAUAUGAUCCCUUAACUGGUUGUCUAACAUGGUUGAACCAAUUCUCUCAACACCACAAUGAAUUACUUCGAAAAGAACUCGAAAACAUCCGAAACCUUCAUCCCCAAAUCAACAUUAUUUAUGUUGAUUAUUACAAAGCUGCAAUGCCGUUUUACCAGUCUCCAAAAAAAUUUGGUACAUUUUCAGAUCCUUUAAAACAAGAAUACUUAAUAGCUAAAUAUACGUUUUGGUACUUGAAUUUGGCUUUAAAGUUUAAAUUAGCACUUAAGAUAUUUUUUCUGUCCAAUUGUUGAAAUUAGUACGUGAACUUGGUUUUUGGUUCAAAUAAGCCAUUUACAUAAGUACUAAUUUGAACCAAGAAGGCAAGUUUAGGUAUGUAGUUGGACCAAAAUAAACUUUACCUACCAAAUUGAACUUUAAAACCAAGUUCAAGAACCUAGCCAAGUUCAGGUGUCAAAAUGUAUAUUUACCCAAACUUAAUUUGUCAUCAAAAUUUUGCUUCUUUACAUGGAAUUUCCUCGAAUGGUUUCAGGAUUUAAAGAAACUUUGAAGGCAUGUUGUGGAAUUGGAGGUCUUUAUAAUUACGAUCCGUUGAUAUAUUGUGGUUAUCCGCCAUUAAAACAAUGCUGCAACGACCCUUCUUCGUAUAUUAGCUGGGAUGGGAUUCAUUAUACAGAAGUUGUCAACAAAUGGCUUGCCCAUACUGUAUUUGAAGAAUUGAUGAACACCAUUCCUAGAUUAAGGAGCUUGUGUCCCUCAUCCACCGUAAACAAACUGAGAAUUCUAUAUCCAAUGUUUGGGGUCUAAACUGUAAUAAGUGUAUAAAUUGUUUGUCCAAUUAAUUCACUCAAUCUUAACUCACUAAACUAAAUUAAGUUUGAUAAAAUCAUAGCAUUUUAUAUUAAGCACUGUAUUUUCCUAUAUUUAAAGAAUUUUUUUAGGGUAAACUACAUCAUUAUUCACUAAACUAUGAGUAAGUUUUCAUUUUUGUCACUUAACUAAAAAAGUUACAAUUUGGUCAUUAAAUUAUUUGAAAGUUUUAUUGAUGUAACAUUCCAAACCCGACCUAUAAGUUAUGACCAGAUAUUGAGGAAGUACAUCAACUUAUUCAAAGCUUUUAAAUUUAAUCCUAUUUAAAUUUUAAAACUUAUAGUAUGGACAUUAAACAUUAUAUAUAAUUAUUCAAAUUUAAUCCUACUUAAAUUUUAAAUUUCAUUUUAAUUUACUCAUAUUUAAAUUUAUUAAAGGCUAUUAUAUUAAAUUAGUAUAAAUAUAAUUUUAGCUACUAAAGUUUAUUUAUUUUAUCAUUUUAGCCCUCAACUUUUAAAAUUUAGUUAAAUGGCUUUUUUUAACAAAAAUUUGAUUGAACUAUUAAAAUUUUAGUGGUAUUGACGUGGUAGCUCGUGUGGCAUUUUAUGUAUACUUCACUGCUAAUAUGGAUUUUUUAAAAUUUUUUACGAACCCUUUUAAAAUUUUUUAUUUUUUAUAUUUUUUUUUGAAAUUUUAUGAAUUAUAUGUGGAUUGCACGCUAGUGGUCACUUCAAUGCCAAUAAAAUUUUAAUAAUUCAGUUAGUUUUUCUGUAAAAAAAAAAUAGAAGAAGAAGGAAUUUGAUUAAAAUUUAAAGAUUGAGGGUCAAAAUGACCUAAAAAAGAAUAAGAGUCAAAAUAACAAAAUGAGUAAUUGUUAUGAGCUAAAUUUAUCAUUAUUCAUAUUAAAUUUUAAUAUAUUUUUUUAUUUAAGGAAAAAUAACUUAUUUAGCCCUCAAAUCUUAUAAAAAAGUCAUUUUAAUCCUCCAAUUUUUUUCAACCUUUUUUAGCUAUUCAAAUAAUCAUGUUUAUCAUUUCUCUAAAAUGGAUGAAAAAAUUAACUCAUCAUUAAAUAUAUGACAUGGCGCCAAAUAUGAAAAAAAUAGAACGACGUGAUAUUCCACGUGUGGAAAAAAUUAUUUUUAAUUUAUGUGUAUCUCCACUAACUAAAAAUGUGAUUUAAGAUAAUUAAACCCGAAAUAUGAAAGCCUCAUAAAACUAAAAAAAAUCCCCAAAUCUAUUAUAGUAAUCGGGAUUAAUAGAUAAACAAAAAAGUAGGAAAAAAAAUCCCAUUCACCCAAAAAUUGAGGCUUUGAAUACAUGAUGAGCUUUUAUGCUAGAAUUGUAAUGUUUAAAAUUUUAGUUUUGAAUUGUUAAAAAUAGUCAAGUGAAUUGAUUUGAUUUAAUGGUUAAGUGUUGUGUUUGUGUGUGUGAGGUUUUGGGUUCAAAUUCUUUCCUCUAAAAUAUUGUUAAUUUUUUAUUGAAUCCCUAUCUCUGAACUUUGGGCUUAAAUAUUAUUUUCGCUAAAUUAAUGAUAGAAUAAGUUUAUUGGUUUAGUGGUAAUAUUUUAGUUUACCUUUAGGUCCUUUGUUUGAAUCCUUGCGUGUGCAAACGUGAAUUGUUUUUGCUAAAUUCUAUGUACCGACACUAUUUAUGUGGUGAGAGGUGUAUCAUCUAUACAAAUCAUAUCUUGGUAAGGCCAAUGUUGUGGUUGAUGCUUUUAGUCAGAGAUCGAUAUCUGAUUUAAGGGUCAUGUUUACUCUCCUAAGUUUGUUUGAGGAUAAUAGCUUGUUGGCCAAGUUGCAAGUUAAGCCGACUUGGAUUGAUCAAAUUCGGGAUAAGCAAAUACUAGAUGAUUCUUUGGUUCUUUGGCUUUAGCAAGUUGAGGAGGGUAGGACUUCUGAUUUUAGGUUGAAUAGUAAGGGUAUUCUAUGUUUCAAAGGUCAGUUUUGUGUGCUUGAUGAUACUGAGUUGAGGUAGUGUAUUUUGCGAGAAGCACAUAGUAGCCCUUAUACUAUACAUCUUGGUGGAAAUAAGAUGUAUCGAGAUCUCUGAGAGUUGUACUAGUGACUCGACUUAUGAUUGUAAGUGCCAAACCCCUUUGUGUUGGAUUGAGUUGGGUCAACAUAGAGUUUAUAGUAGGAGAUCGAGUUUUCUUUAAGGUAUCCCUGUGGAAGAAGGUCAUUCGAUUUGGACGUAAGGGCAAGUUGAGCCCUAGAUUCAUUGGGCUUUAUUGGGUUUUGAAACGAGUUGGGUUGGUUUCAUAUCAUCUAGAGUUGCCUUUAGAGUUGGACUGUAUACAUGAUGUGUUCCACGUCUCUAUGUUAAGGCGGUAUAGAUCUGAUCCAUCUCGUAUUGUUUCUAUUGAAGAAAUUGAGGUAAGGUCGGAUUUGACUUUUAAGGAGUAGCCGUUAUAUAUCCUAGACUGAGAGGUUAAGGUUUUGAGAAAGAAGAUCAUUUUGAUAGUUAAGGUCCUGUGGCGAAAUCAUGGUACAGAGGAAGUCACUUGGGAGCUUGAGGAAUCGAUUCAACAGCAAUUCCCACAUUUGUUUGAAUCAGGUAAAUUUCGAGGCCAAAAUUUCUUUGAAGGGGAGAGUUGUAACGCCCUAAAAUUUUAGUCUUUGAAUUGUUAAAAAUAGUCAUGUGAAUUGAUCUAGUUCAGUGGUUAAGUGCUGUAUUUGUUUGUGUGUGGUUCUAGGUUCAAGUCAUUUCCCCUUAAAUUUUGUUAAUUUUUUAUUAAAACUUUAUCUCUGAACUUUGGGCUUAAAUAUUAUUUUCACUCAACUAGUGAUAGAAUGAGCUUGUUGGUUCAGUGGUAAGGUUUUAACUUAUCUUUUGGUCUUGUGUUCAAAUCUCUACAUGUGCAAAUGGGAAUUAUUUUUUCUAAAUUCUCCGCAUGCCACCCAUGUGGUAGUGUUUGGGCUAAAUUCGAAUUUUGAUAGGCUAAUAAGUGGUUAGAAAAUUGGUUUAGAUAGAAACUUAUCAGAUUUAUUUUUUUAAAUAAUGAUUUUAUAAUCAAAUUUCCCCCAAAAAUCUCCCAUUUUCUGUAGCUAGAGUUUUAUCUUUCUUGGUAUCCAACUUACUUUUUGGUGUGAUACGAAUUCUGUUGAUUGAUAGUAUGGGUUUUUGAUAGGAGAAGAACAUUUGGCGAUCCUCCAGUGAAUUAAAUUUGUUCCUCUAGCGAAUUAAGUGUGUUCGGUUGCUAUUGCUUCGGGGGUAAGAGAUGUUAUGCCUUGUUGGGGGCUGAAUUUUUAAUGGUUUCAAGGUUGACUGUGGAUGUUUGGAACCAAAUUAGGGAUUUAGGAAUUGGUAGCUUUCAUUGGCUAAUCUGUGUAAAAUGUUGAUUUAGGUAUUGGAAAUCUAGCUCUUGGAUUUGCAUAAGAAAACACCAAAGUGUGUAACGGAAAACUCAAAAACCAACAAACAACUAGAUGUUGAAAAACUAUUGUUGAUGUCACACGACCGUUUGGACCCCACGAUUUGGGCUAUUUGGGCCAUGUAGGCCACAUGGACAUGUGGGCCCAUUUUCUGAAAAUUUACCCUAUGGCCGUUUUUGAUGUGCGAUUCAAAUUUACCAUUUUAUAGGGUCUGUAUUGUAUGAAUAAGAUUGUAAAACAUGAGAUCUGAUAUUCUAUUUUUGUUAAAUGCGAUUUCUGAAAACAUGAUAUGUAUAGCAUGUAUGUCAUAUGUAAUAGCAUGAAGUGAUUUCUACCAAAGCGAUUUAAAAUUUGAUGUGUACAGCAUUUAUGUCAUACACACAUUUAUUAUCUGAUUAGUAUUGCAUGUGCAUUGGGGUGGAAAUAUGUUUUAUGAAGGAAAUGUUGGCAGUUUAAUAAUUUUCCUUAUCUAGUGGCUUGAUCACAUUUUUCUGAAUCUGGCGGGUUACCGUGUAUUAUUAUCUAGCAACUUUACUACAUAAUUUCUAAAAAGUGACAUACACUCAUUUAUUGGUGUGUAGGGUUGGAUGGAUAUUUGAUAUCCUAUUUGGUGUGUAAGGAUAGACGGAGAUGGUGUGUAGCGGAUGGGGGUAGGAUAUGAUUAUGAUAAUAUAUCCAAUUCUGAAUCUGAUCAUGCAUCUGAAAUGUAUUUGUUAAUUUAUGUGCAUUUGAUUGUUGAUUGGGAUGUGUUACGCACUGAGCUUGUAAGCUCACUUUCUGUAUGUUUUCCUCUCAGGUAGCUAGUAAACUUGGGACGGAUCGAGGUAGCAAAAGCUCGGUUUAAAUUAUUGUUUCUUUUAAUUUGAUUAAGUUUAAGUAUUAUUUUCAAUUGGACUACUUUUGAACUUUUUGGAGUAUGUUAACUAUUUUGGAUUUUAUUUUUUGUUUUGAACUACUUUAUCGUAUUUAGAAUAUUUUAUUUCAAGUUGCAAUAUGUUUGAGUUUCAAAAUCAAACUACGAUUUUCAAAACUCUAUUUAACUUAAGAUUUCCGCUGCAAAAAACUAAGAUCUUAUAAGUGUUUUUUACAAUUAAAAUGAAUAAAUUUAAUAUGAUGUUUUCCCCUAAAAUCUAGAAGUAUCAUUAUCAAUUUUUGUUUUAUGUUACGUUUCUGAAUUUUAAUUUCUAGCUUUAAAACUAGUGUAUGUAAUUUUUCAGGAUUCGAUCAUAAUAUCUAAGUUAGAUAUAAGGUGUUGCAAGGUUCGACUUUGAAUACUUUAUUCAAAAUUUGAACAAGCCCUGGUACCAAACUAGUAAGAAUUACUAUAAUUACAAACAAUUGCCUUUGGCAUUUUCUGUUGCUGGUGGGGUUUGUGUUACAGGUUUAAAAAGCUUUGGGGUUUGGGGAAAGAAAUUAAGAGAGAAUAGUGAGAGUGAGAAAAUUCCUAAAAGAAAGAAGACAAAGAAAGUAUGCUAUUAUGAUAUCUUUAUGAAAUUGUACUCAUUGUUGGUUUUGAAAUGCCAUGCCAUUAUUUAGAUCUGGCGUCACAUUAGAUGUUAAAUGGUAGGUAAAUAAUCAUUUUUGAGAGAAAAAUGAUAAACAUUAUUUGUAAAAUUGGAGGGUUAAAUAAAUUAUUUUAAUUUUAUUUAAUUUUAAAAAGUUAUUUGAUUAAAUUAAAAAUUUAAUAAUUAAGUGAUUAAAAUAAAAUAAACUAAAUAAUUGGAUGAUCAUUUUUAUAUUUUAUUCUAUUUUUUUAAUAUUUAUAAUAAAGUGAAAUAUUUUAUUUUUGUAUAACAUAAAUUACAUAACAUAUUAUAACAUAUUUUAUUUAUAACAUAUUAUAACAUAUUUAUAAUAUUUAACUUCGGGCUUAAAUAUUAUUUUUGCUCAACUAGUGAUAGAAUGAAUUUAUUGGUUCAGUGGUGAGGUUUUAACUUAUUUUUUGGUCUUCUGUUCAAAUCUUUAUGUGUGCAAACAAGAAUUAUUUUUGCUAAAUUCUCCGUGUGCCGCCCAUGUGGUAGUGUUUGGGCUAAAUUCGAAUUCUGAUAGGCUACUAAGUGGUUAGAAAAUUGGUUUAGAUAGAAACUUAUCAGAUUUAUUUUUCUUAAAUAAUGAUUUUAUAAUCAAAAUUUCCCCAAAAAAAUCUCCCCUUUUCUGUGGCUAGAGUUUUAGUUUUCUUGGUAUCCAGCUUACGUUUGGUGUGAUACUAAUUCCGUUGAUUGAUAGUAUGGUUUUUUUGAUAGGAGAACGUGUGACGUUGGCGAUCCUCCAGUGAAUUAAGUGUGUUCCUCUAGCGAAUUAAGUGUGUUCGGUUGCUAUUGCUUCGGGGGUAAGUGAUAUUAUGCCUUGUUGGGGGCUGAAUUUUAUGGUUUUAAGGUUGAUUGUGGAUGUUUGGAACCAAAUUAGGGAUUUAGGAAUUGGUAGUUUUCAUUGGCUAAUCUGUGUCAAAUGUCAAUUUAGGUACUAGAAAUCUAGCUCUUGGAUUCGCAUAAGAAAACACACAAGCGUGUAACGGAAAACUCAAAAAACAAUUAGCAACAAGAUGCUGAAAAACUAUCGUCAGUGUUACACGACUGUCUGGACUACACGAUUUGGGCUAUUUGGGCCAUGUGGGCCACACGAACAUGUGAGCUCAUUUUUUGAAAAUUUACCCUAUGGCCGUUUUUUAUGCGCGAUUCGAAUUUAACCUUUUGUAGGGUCCGUAUUGUAUAAAUAAGAUUGUAAAACAUAAAAUCUGAUAUUUUAUUUCUAUUAAAUGCGAUUUCUGAAAGCAUGAUAUGUAUAGCAUGUAUAUCAUAUGUAAUAGCAUGAUGUGAUUUCUACCAAAGCGAUUUAAAAUUUGAUGUGUAUAGCAUUUAUGUCAUACACACAUUUGUUAUCUGAUUAGUAUUGCAUGUGCAUUGGGGUGGAAAUAUAUUUUAUGAAGGAAAUGUUAGCAGUUUAAUAAUCUGCCUUAUUUAGUGGCUUGAUCACAUAUUUCUGAAUCUGGUGGGUUACCGUGUAUUAUUAUGUAGCAACUUUACUGCAUAAUUUCUGAAAAGUGAGAUACGCUCAUUUCUUGGUGUGUGGGAUUGGAUGGAUAUUUGAUACCAUAUUUGGUGUGUAAGGAUAGACGGAGAUGGUGUGUAGCAGAUGGGGGUAGGAUAUGAUUAUGAUAAUAUAUCCAAUUUUGAAUCUGAUCAUGCAUCUGAAAUGUAUUUGUUAAUUUAUGUGCAUCUGAUUGUUGUUUGGGAUGUGUUACUCAUUGAGCUCGUAAGCUCACUUUCUGUAUAUUUUCCGCUCAAGUAACUAGCAAACUUAGGACGGAUCGACAUAGCAGGAGCUCGGUUUAAAUUAUUGUUUCUUUUAAUUUGAUUAAGUAUUAUUUUCAAUUAGACUAUUUUUUGUUGGAUUAUUUUUGGACUUUUUGGGGUAUGUUAACUAUUUUGGAUUUUGUUUUUUGUUUUGAACUACUUUAUCGUAUUUAGAAUAUUUUAUUUCAAAUUGCAAUACAUUGAGUUUCAAAAUCAAACUACGGUUUUCUAAACAAAAUCAAACUAUGGUUUUCUAAACUUUGUUUAACUUAAGAUUUCCGCAGCAAAACUAAGUGAUCUUAUAAGUGUUUUCUGCAAUUAAAAUGAAUAAAUUUAAUAUGGUAUUUUUCCCUAAAAACUAGAAAUAUCAUUAUCAAUUUUUGUUUUAUGUUACUAUCUGAAUUUUAAUUUCUGACUUUAAAACGAGUGUAUGUAAUUUCUAAAGAUUUGAUCAGAACGUCUAAGUUAGAUAUAAGGUGUUACAAAGUUAGACUUCGAAUACUUUAUUCAAAAUUUGAACAAACUAGUAAGAAUUACAAUAAUUACAAACAAUUGCCUUGGCAUUGUCCGUUGCUGGCGGGGUUUGUGUUACAGGUUUAAAAAGCUUUGGGGUUUGGGGAAAGAAAUUAAGAGAGAAAAGUGAGAGUGAGAAAAUUCCCAAAAGAAAGAAGACAAAGAAAGUAUGCUAUUAUGAUAUCUUUAUGAAAUUGUACUCAUUGUUGGUUUUGAAAUGUCAUGUCAUUAUUUAUAUCUGGCGUCACAUUAGAUGUAAAAUGUAGGCAAAUAAUCAUUUUUGAGAGAAAAAUGAUAAACUUGAAGGUUUGCAAAAAUUGGAGUGUUAAAUAAAUUAUUUUUAUUUUAUUUUAUUUUAAAAAGUUAUGUAAUUAAAUUAAAAAAAUUAAUAGUUAAGUGAUCGAAAUAAAAUAAAUUAAAUAAUUGGAGGAUCGUUUUUAUAUUUUACUGUAUUUUUUAAAUAUUUAUAAUAAAGUGAAUAUAUUUUAUUUUUAUAUAACAUAAAUUACAUAAUAUAUAAAAAUAUAUAAGAAAAAUAACAUAUUAUAAAAAUUAGAAUAUAAGUCUAGCUUGGCUAGGCUUAGGUCUUGAUGGUUAAGAGUUUAAUCACGACUCAUAUUUUCUAAUGAGUCUAAUUUUUUAUUUAAAUUUAUUUUUUCAAGUUUAGUAUUUUUGUUUGAAUCCUCUUAAAUAUUUAUAGACUUUUUAAUUUGAACACAUAGACUGACCCUAAAACAUAACUAAUAUGGACUAUUACUUAACACAAUAAAAUAUAAAAUAUUAAAAUUGAUUAUUAAUUUAAUAAAAAAUAUAUGAUAUAAUUCCUCUGUUUUUUAUUAUUAUUAUUUAAGAUAUAUAAAGUUUCUUAAAGAUAAUUAAUGUUUUUAAAUAAUUGAAAGCGAUUUUGCAGCUAACAAUGUAUAUAUAUAGAAAGCUACUUUGCAUCUAAUUAAUUUUCUCACUGAUAUUCAUAUACAGAAAGCAAUUGCUCAUCUUACAUACAUGCAUACGUACUUUACAGAGAAAAAAAAUGGAAAUUACCUACCCUAUUAUCAGAGGCAAAUCUGGUAGGAGCUCGUCCCCUAAAAUAGAAAAUUGUUAUUUAGGUAUUUUAAAAAAUUUUAAAUUAGUAAAGGUAAAAUUACAUUUUGCCCCCUUAAAAUUAUAAUAAUAAAAUUUAAUCCUUUAAAAAUUAUAAAGAUAUAGACUAUAAAAAAAUUAAAAUUUUAUUCGGUCACCCUAAAAAAUUGUUCUAGCUUCGCCCUUCCUAUCAUUUGGAAAUGAUAAAUCAUUGAAAACAAAACAACUUUCGGUUUUUAUACAUACAUUCAUACAACUUCUGUAAUCACACACUCAUAUAUAUCAAUAAUUAACCUUUAGAGUAAAGGUAUUUUAGUAAUUUUACAAUCAAGUUGGUGUCAAGUUGAUUCAUAACACUAAUUCAAUUGGUCAUUUUACGUAUAGUAUAAAUUUGAAAUGAAUCUAAAUAUAUUGAAAAAAUUCUAUAUUUAAAGGUUUGGAUAAAGUCUAAACUUGAAAUUUGUUGGUGAGAAAGUGGUAAUAUAAAUAUCCACAUUUCAAAAGGUGUUGGUGCAAUUUCUUUUUUGCUUCCUUGAAUAUAGACAUGCUUCAAUGGCUACUUCUUCAUCAUGUUCCUCGUUGAAACAACACUUCCUUGUGUUUCUCAUUGUAAUAAUAAGCAGCAUUAUUAAUUCACCAGUAAAUGGAUGUUUCACAUCGAUUUUCAGCUUUGGUGAUUCAUUAACUGAUACAGGCAACUUGCUUCAGAUUUCACUUUCAGAUUCCACCAAACCUCCUCAUUCUGCUUUUCUUCCCUAUGGCCGCACCUUCUUUCACCAUCCCACCGGUCGGUUCUGCGAUGGCCGCUUGGUUAUAGAUUUCCUCGGUAUGUAAUCCAAUGUUUUUCUUCUUUGGUCUAAAUCUUCUUAUUUCUUGAAGUAAUGCUGUUUAAUUUCCAUGCUAUAUUCACACUAGGAUAUAAUUAACACAUAAUAUAAUCAUAGUGAUCUGAUUAUCAAUAGGGGUCCAAACUAAAUGGUGGGUGGGAGGACGUUGGUCCCCAAACCUUUCUUAGGUUCUUACAAAUUUUUAACUAGAGAAUUUGAGCCAUGAUUUCAUUUUUUUUUUAAAAAUAUAUCAUAGUGCUUCUCAAUUUUAAAAUUAAGUAAAUUAAGCAUUAAAUUGUUAACUUAAAGAUUUCAAAAACACUUUAAUUUUUAAUUCCAUAUUCUAUAUUCUUCUUAGGUCAAUACACUUUGGUAUAAGUCAGUAUUAAUUAAAAUUGACCGAAAUAGAAUUUGGUAUCAAAACGUACCGAUUGCCAUGCUUGGCACCCUGAUGUUUUAUCCUGGUUCUUACCUGUUAUCUAUCAUAAUAUAUGUUUAUGUGGUUCCAAUUGGACAUGAUUUUGCAGCUGAAGCUUUGGGAUUUUCCUUUUUACCACCAUUUUAUGGAUCUCAAAGUGGAAAAUGGGAGAAAUUCCAAAAGGGAGCGAAUUUUGCAGUGGCUAGUGCUACUGCACUGAAUUCGUCGUUUCUUGCUGAACAAGGAAUCCAUAGUGUCUCCACCAACAUUUCUUUGGGAGUUGAAGUGAAUUCCUUCAAACAUUUAUUGCCAUCUCUUUGCUCAUCUUCUUCAUGUAAGCUUUAAUGUUUCAAACCCCUACCAUGUUUUUUUUUUUUUGUUUGUUUCAAAUGCUAAUAAUAAGCUAUGAUCUACAGAUUGCAAAGAGCUCCUAAGGAACUCCUUGAUUGUGAUGGGAGAGAUUGGAGGAAAUGACUACAAUCAUGCAUUCAUGCAAGGGAAACACGUUGAGAAUAUCCGAAAACUUGUCCCUCUGGUUGUUGAUAUCAUAUCUUCAUCAAUCAAUGUAAGAAUUGAUGGAUGUUGUCCUUGUUUUGAAUUAGGUAAAAUGACAUCUUUGGUCCCUUUCAAUUUCGAUAUUGAGAAAAUUUGUCCCUAUAAAAAAAUUAGAACAAUUUAAUCCUGUCAAUUUUAAAAGUGAACAACAAUUAAUCAUAGUAUUAAUAUUUUUCAUCAAUUAUACAUAUUUUUAUUGGUAACAUAUCAAAUUUAGCCCUCUAAGUUCACACAUUUUGUCAAUUUCAUCUCAACAUUUACAUAUUAUGUCAAUUUUAUACUGAUUUAACAAAUUUAGUCCACAACAUUUACACAUUCUGUCAAUUUGAUCUUGAUUUAACAAAUUUAGUUCGUAAUAUUUACAUGUUCUAUCAACUUUCACGCAGAAUAUUUAAACAUUUAGAGUUAAAUUUGUUACUACAUCAACAGAAAUUAAUUACAAUUGACAUAAUAUAUUAAUGUUAUAAUUAGCUGUCAUUAAUUGUUCACUUUUGAAAUUGAUAGCGAUUAAAUUAAUCCAAAUUUUUUUAGAAGGACCAAUUUGCUCAAUAUCAAAUUUGAGAGGGACAAAAAAAGUGUAUUUACCUUAAAAUUAUUAACAUUUGGUAUACAUGCAGGAGUUGAUCGAGUUAGGAGCAGUGACAUUUUUGGUCCCUGGAAACUUUCCUAUUGGAUGCUCCCCAUCUUUGCUGACAAAAUUUCAUGGUUCAGAAAAGGAUCAAUAUGAUCCCUUAACUGGUUGUCUAACGUGGUUGAACCAAUUCUCUCAACACCACAAUGAAUUACUUCGAAAAGAACUCGAAAAUAUCCGAAACCUUCAUCCCCAAAUCAACAUUAUUUAUGUUGAUUAUUACAAAGCUGCAAUGCGGUUUUACCAUUCUCCAAAAAAAUUUGGUACAUUUUCAGAUCCUUUAAAACAAGAAAACUUAAUAGGUACAUAUACAUUUUGGUACCUGAAUUUGGCUUCAAAGUUCAAAUUGGCACCUAGGAUUUUUUAUUUUUGGGUCCAAAUAGCUACCUAAAUUUGACUUUUUGGUUGAAAUUAGUACUUGAACUUGGUUUCAUAAUUCAAAUCGGUUCAAAUAAGCCAUUAGCAUUUUGAACCAAGAAGCCAAGUUUAGGUACCUAGUUGGACCAAAAUAAACUUUAGCUACCAUAUUGAACCUUAAAGCCAAGUUCAAGAAUCUACCUGGACCAAAAAAAAAAACCUUAGGUAUGAAUUUGAACAAAGAAGCCAAGUUCAGGUGUCAAAAUGUAUAUUUACCCAAACUUAAUUUGUCAUCAAAAUUUUGCUUCUUUACAUGGAAUUUUCUCG
rnacentral:lncRNA from 1 species